GAUCCUGGCUCAGGACGAACGCUGGCGGCGUGUUUAACACAUGCAAGUCGAACGGAGCACCCUUGAUUGAGGUUUCGGCCAAAUGAUAGGAAUGCUUAGUGGCGGACUGGUGAGUAACGCGUGAGGAACCUGCCUUUCAGAGGGGGGACAACAGUUGGAAACGACUGCUAAUACCGCAUGACGCAUUUUGAUCGCAUGGUCGAAAUGCCAAAGAUUUAUCGCUGAAAGAUGG
rnacentral:rRNA from 1 species